UGCCAGAUGGCUCAGUUGGUAGAUCACCUGACUAGAGAUUCAGGGGGGCCUGUGUUUGAAUCCCGGUCUGGUCA
rnacentral:tRNA from 1 species